GUAUUUCUUAUCCAUGGUUUUGCUUUCCAUGGUUUCAGUUACGUGCCAAGAACUGUGGUGCAAAAAUAAUGCUCUGUCACAAUGCCUACAUCAUUCACCUCACUUCAUCUCAUCACACAGGCGUUGUAUCAUCUCACAUCAUCACAAAAAGAAGACCAGCAUGUGCCAUUCUUGUGAACUGCCUCCUCAAUCACAAUUUGUAACAUGAAGAGAAGGAUGAAAGUUGACGCUGGAUGCUAACUGGAAAUGAUACAUCCCUCACAUUAUUCACAAUAGCCAAGAUUUGGAAGGAACCCAAGUGCCCAUCAACUAAUGAAUGGAUAAAGAAG
rnacentral:lncRNA from 1 species